AUGGAGUGGAAAUACACCAUAAGAAAGCUGAAGAUGGCAUCUAAAGGAGUGACUUCUUUGUGGCAAAAGCCAACGUCUUUAUAUAAAUUUCACUGGGUUCCAGGAAGUGAUCACAUCACAGAGGAGCCGCUCACAGGGGAUGAAAGAGCCUCAGAGAAACCCACUUGCCUCUGCCCUUUUCCUGAUGCUGCCAUGAGCCCCACACUCACCUGCUUCACAGUCCUGUGUCUCCUGGGUGCAGGUUUCCUUGAGGCAGAAGUCACCCAGACUCCAGGGCACCUGGUUCAAGGGAAAGGACUGGAAGUGGAAAUGUAUUGUGUUCCCAAAAAAGGACAUAUUUAUGUGUUCUGGUAUCAACAGAUCCUGAGCAAAGAGUUCAAGUUCUUGAUUUCCUUCCAAAAUGAUAAAGUCUUGGAUGAUAAAGAGAUGCCCAAGAAGAGAUUUUCAGCUGAGUGCCCCUCAAACUCACCUUGUAGUCUGAAGAUCCAGCCUACGGAGCCGCAGGACUCAGCUGUGUAUUUCUGUGCGAGCAGUGAUUGCACAGUGAGAAAUACCGGCUAAGCUUAAUGCACAAACUCAACCCAGGCUCAGCUCAGGAAGCAGGUGUAUAAUAGAACUAGAGCAAUCUUAAGCCAUAUGAAAAUUUCUUUCAAGACUAAAUGUAUUAUUGUACAUCUUAUAAAAUCUUAAAACAAGAACACAGGCAUUCUUUGGGAAUGAAGUCCCCAAAUUGGGACAUGGUAGAUUUGACGACUCCUUUCUUUUUCCAACUUGUUGGCUCCAUUUAUUCUCCCUUAUUAUAAACUGUUUUCUCUAUUUCUUAGAUUUCAUAGUAAACUGUUGUUCAGUCACUCAGUCAUGUCUGACUCUUUGCAGAGUGGACUGCACUCGAUGGACUGCAGCAUGCCAGG